CAGAGGGGCCAGGCGCCCGCGCCGCGGUUUUUCGCGGUGAGGAAAGUCCGGACUCCAGGUGGCAGCACGCUGGGUAACGCCCAGCCGCGGCAACGCGAGGGAAAGUGCAACAGAAAGCAAACCACCCGGCGGCCGCCGUCGGGAAAGGGUGAAACGGUGGGGUAAGAGCCCACCGCCCGGCCGGUGACGGUCGGGGCACGGCAAACCCCGUGCGGAGCAAGGCCAAAUAGGGGAGCUGACGGGUGCCACCCCCGGUUUCGCACGUGCGAGCUGCUCCCGGGUAGGCUGCUCGAGCCGGCCGGUAACGACCGGCCCAGAUGAAUGGGCGCCACCCGCUCGUCGGGCACAGAAUCCGGCUUAUCGGCCCCUCUGCCGC
rnacentral:RNase_P_RNA from 1 species